GCUGUAGUGAACACCCUGUAGAACACAUCACACAAACCAAGAGACACAGCAAAGCUGCUUCUGCUGGACCACCAGUAGGUACUCUGUGUUCAAUGGACCUGAGUGGUGCAAUUCACAUGCACUUUGGAACAGAGUGUGAGAGAGGGGUGCCAAUUCACAACAUAGGCACUCACCCUUUGUGUAAUCUUCACUCCUGGACUGCCACUUUCCAAGGCUGGACCGAAGGACAAGACCAGACUUUUUUUUUUAUUAUAGGAGUCUACACAAUAUUCUUUUUGCACCUCAGAUCUCCAGAAGGAAAACCAUGUUGCUACAGGAGACACCAGUUACCAGUCUGCUGUGGAUCUUUUCAUUCAGAGCUUAACUGUGUUUAACAGGGUCACAACAACAGAAUGCUGCACAAGGAUACUGAGGAGAGUUCAAAUCCCUCAGGGAGCUGUUGGACCUGAUAAAAGGACUCUGGAUAACAUCCAGGCUACGAGGGACAUGAAAAGGAACGACCUGAUGUGACCUGAUGUGGUCUGACUUUAGUUUACAGUUUUCUUCUAAUGAGCAACUAAUGACCUGUAAGAAAAUAAAACUAUGUGAAAUAAGG